AUCGAACGCUGGCGGCAGGCCUAAUACAUGCAAGUCGAGCGGAGGAAGGGAGCUUGCUUCUGGAGUCAGCGUCGCACGGGGGAGUAAUGCCUAUGAAUCUGCUUCGUAGUGGGGGAGAACGACCGUUAACGGGCGCUAAUACCGCAGACGUCCUGUGGGAGUAAGUUGGUGAUCUGCGGACAUCUCGCUAUCAGCUGAGCCUAGGUCGGCUUACCUAGUUGGUGGGGUAAAGGCCUACCAAGGCGAGGUUCGGUAACUGGCCUGAGAGGAUGAGCGGUAACACUGGAACGGGGACACGGUCCGGACUCCUACGGGAGGCAGAAGUGGGGAAUAUUGGAAAAGGGGCGAAGGCCUGCUCCAGAACUGCCGCGGGUGUGAAGAAGGUCUUGGGAUGGAAAAGCACUUUAAGUUGGGAGGAAGGGCAGUAAGUUAGUACCUUGCUGCUUUGACGUUACCAAACGAAUAAGCACCGGCUAACUUCGUG
rnacentral:rRNA from 1 species